GUCGCAGACACCUUGUGAAAUGAGCGAUUCAGAAGACGAUGACAUACCCCAGCUUUCUUCCCACACCUUAGCAGCUCUGCAGGAGUUUUAUGCUGAGCAGAAGCAAACCAUCAACCCAGGAGGGGAUGAUAAAUACAACGUUGGGGUGAUAGAGGAGAACUGGAUAAACCUACCACAUACAAGGCACCGAAUUUAAUUUCAGGAGUCCAAAGGAAGAAGAAAAACAUUUA
rnacentral:lncRNA from 1 species